rnacentral:rRNA from 1 species
CCUACGGGAGGCAGCAGUGAGGAAUAUUGGUCAAUGGGCGCGAGCCUGAACCAGCCAAGUAGCGUGAAGGAUGACUGCCCUACGGGUUGUAAACUUCUUUUAUAAAGGAGUAAAGUGAGGCACGUGUGCCUUUUUGUAUGUACUUUAUGAUUAAGGCUCGGCUAACUCCGUGCCAGCAGCCGCGGUAAUACGGAGGAGCCGAGCGUUAUCCGGAUUUAUUGGGUGUAAAGGGAGCGUAGAUGGGUUGUUAAGUCAGUUGUGAAAGUUUGCGGCUCAACCGUAAAAUUGCAAUGGAUACUGGCAGUCUUGAGUACAGUUGAGGUAGGCGGAAUUCGUGGUGUAGCGGUGAAAUGCUUAGAUAUCACGAAGAACUCCGAUUGCGAAGGCAGCUUACUAAACUGUCACUGACAUUGAUGCUCGAAAGUGUGGGGAGCAAACAGGAUUAGAUACCCCAGUAGUC